UACGUAGGUGGCAAGCGUUGUCCGGAUUUAUUGGGUUUAAAGGGUGCGUAGGCGGCCUUGUAAGUCAGUGGUGAAAUACUCCAGCUCAACUGGAGGGGUGCCAAUGAUACUGCAGGGCUUGAGUACAGAUGAGGUAGGCGGAAUUGACGGUGUAGCGGUGAAAUGCAUAGAUAUCGUCAAGAACACCGAUAGCGAAGGCAGCUUACUGGGCUGUAACUGACGGCUGAGGCACGAAAGUGUGGGGAUCAAACAGG
rnacentral:rRNA from 1 species